CUGCGAUAAGCGCCGGUAAGGUGAUAUGAACCGUUAUAACCGGCGAUACCCGAAUGGGGAAACCCAGUGUGAUUCGUCACACUAUCAUUAACUGAAUCCAUAGGUUAAUGAGGCGAACCGGGGGAACUGAAACAUCUAAGUACCCCGAGGAAAAGAAAUCAACCGAGAUUCCCCCAGUAGCGGCGAGCGAACGGGGAGGAGCCCAGAGCCUGAAUCAGCAUGUGUGUUAGUGGAAGCGUCUGGAAAGGCGCGCGAUACAGGGUGACAGCCCCGUACACAAAAGCGCAUGUGCUGUGAGCUCGAUGAGUAGGGCGGGACACGUGGUAUCCUGUCUGAAUAUGGGGGGACCAUCCUCCAAGGCUAAAUACUCCUGACUGACCGAUAGUGAACCAGUACCGUGAGGGAAAGGCGAAAAGAACCCCGGCGAGGGGAGUGAAAAAGAACCUGAAACCGUGUACGUACAAGCAGUGGGAGCACCCUUCGGGGUGUGACUG
rnacentral:rRNA from 1 species